AGCUGGAUAGGAAUAAAAGGCAUCUUUUUAUUUAAAAGACCUUUUUCGGAAGGUAUGCUUAAAGAUGAGCUUGCGCCACAUUAGUUUGUUGGUGGGGUAAUGGCCUACCAAGACGAUGAUGUGUAGCUGGACUGAGAGGUCGAACAGCCACAUUGGGACUGAGACACGGCCCAAACUCCUACGGGAGGCAGCAGUAGGGAAUUUUCGGCAAUGGAGGAAACUCUGACCGAGCAACGCCGCGUGAACGAUGAAGUAUUUCGGUAUGUAAAGUUCUUUUAUUGAAGAAGAAAAAAUAGUGGAAAAACUAUCUUGACGUUAUUCAAUGAAUAAGCCCCGGCUAACUAUGUGCCAGCAGCCGCGGUAAGACAUAGGGGGCGAGCGUUAUCCGGAAUUAUUGGGCGUAAAGGGUGCGUAGGCGGUUAGGAAAGUCUAUAAUUUAAUUUCAGUGCUUAACGCUGUCUUGUUAUAGAAACUACCUUGACUAGAGUUAGAUAGAGGCAAGCGGAAUUCCAUGUGUAGCGGUAAAAUGUGUAAAUAUAUGGAGGAACACCAGAAGCGUAGGCGGCUUGCUGGGUCUUGACUGACGCUGAGGCACGAAAGCGUGGGUAGCAAACAGGAUUAGAUACCCUGGUAGUCCACGCCGUAAACGAUGAGUACUAAGUGUCGGGAUAAAACUCGGUACUGAAGUUAACACAUUAAGUACUCCGCCUGAGUAGUACGUACGCAAGUAUGAAACUUAAAGGAAUUGACGGGACUCCGCACAAGCGGUGGAUCAUGUUGUUUAAUUCGAAGAUACACGAAAAAUCUUACCAGGUCUUGACAUGCUCUGCAAAGCUAUAGAAAUAUAGUGGAGGUUAUCAGGGACACAGGUGGUGCAUGGUUGUCGUCAGUUCGUGUCGUGAGAUGUUAGGUUAAGUCCUAAAACGAGCGCAACCCUUGUCGUUAGUUACCAGCACGUAAUGGUGGGCACUUUAACGAGACUGCCAAUUAAACAUUGGAGGAAGGUGAGGAUUACGUCAAAUCAUCAUGCCCCUUAUGAUCUGGGCUACAAACGUGAUACAAUGGCUGUUACAAAGAGUAGCUGAAGCGCGAGUUUUUAGCCAAUCUCAAAAAAGCAGUCUCAGUUCGGAUUGAAGUCUGUAACUCGACUUCAUGAAGUUGGAAUCGCUAGUAAUCCCGAAUCAGCAUGUCGCGGUGAAUACG
rnacentral:rRNA from 1 species